rnacentral:rRNA from 1 species
CUUAACUGGGCGUUCAGUCUCUGGAUAUAGACCCGAAACCAGGUGAUCUAGCCAUGGGCAGGUUGAAGGUUGAGUAACAUCAACUGGAGGACCGAACCGACUAAUGUUGAAAAAUUAGCGGAUGACUUGUGGCUAGGGGUGAAAGGCCAAUCAAACCUGGAGAUAGCUGGUUCUCCCCGAAAGCUAUUUAGGUAGCGCCUCGGACGAAUACUACUGGGGGUAGAGCACUGUUAAGGCUAGGGGGUCAUCCCGACUUACCAACCCUUUGCAAACUCCGAAUACCAGUAAGUACUAUCCGGGAGACACACGGCGGGUGCUAACGUCCGUCGUGGAGAGGGAAACAACCCAGACCGCCAGCUAAGGUCCCAAAUUACUAC